rnacentral:rRNA from 1 species
GACGAACGCGGCGGCGUGCCUAAUACAUGCAAGUAGAACGCUGAAGAGAGGAGCUUGCUCUUCUUGGAUGAGUUGCGAACGGGUGAGUAACGCGUAGGUAACCUGCCUGGUAGCGGGGGAUAACUAUUGGAAACGAUAGCUAAUACCGCAUAAAAUUGAUUAUUGCAUGAUAAUUAAUUGAAAGAUGCAAUUGCAUCACUACCAGAUGGACCUGCGUUGUAUUAGCUAGUUGGUGAGGUAACGGCUCACCAAGGCGACGAUACAUAGCCGACCUGAGAGGGUGAUCGGCCACACUGGGACUGAGACACGGCCCAGACUCCUACGGGAGGCAGCAGUAGGGAAUCUUCGGCAAUGGGGGGAACCCUGACCGAGCAACGCCGCGUGAGUGAAAGAAAGGUUUUUCGGGAUCGUAAAAGCUCUGUUGUUAAAGGAAGAAACGAAGUGUG